rnacentral:misc_RNA from 1 species
CUGUAGAUCGUGUGCUCUGAAAAAUACAGUGUAGACUCAUUUGUUUAUAAUUUUACAUCCCUUUUACUAUCCAUUGAUGUUUCAAAAACACUACCUCACACAUCUACCACAAGUGUUUGGUUACCUACAUGUCGAUAUCUUUAAAAAAUUGUGAGUGCUGCGGGUAAUCUUAAACGUAUCCUUAAGUUUGGUC